UUAGUAUUUGGUCGUAGACCCGAAACCAGGUGAUCUACCCUUGGUCAGGUUGAAGUUCAGGUAACACUGAAUGGAGGACCGAACCGACUUACGUUGAAAAGUGAGCGGAUGAACUGAGGGUAGCGGAGAAAUUCCAAUCGAACCUGGAGAUAGCUGGUUCUCUCCGAAAUAGCUUUAGGGCUAGCCUCAAGUGAUGAUUAUUGGAGGUAGAGCACUGUUUGGACGAGGGGCCCCUCUCGGGUUACCGAAUUCAGACAAACUCCGAAUGCCAAUUAAUUUAACUUGGGAGUCAGAACAUGGGUGAUAAGGUCCGUGUUCGAAAGGGAAACAGCCCAGACCACCAGCUAAGGUCCCAAAAUAUAUGUUAAGUGGAAAAGGAUGUGGCGUUGCCCAGACAACUAGGAUGUUGGCUUAGAAGCAGCCAUCAUUUAAAGAGUGCGUAAUAGCUCACUAGUCGAGUGACACUGCGCCGAAAAUGUACCGGGGCUAAACAUAUUACCGAAGCUGUGGAUUGUCCUUUGGACAAUGGUAGGAGAGCGUUCUAAGGGCGUUGAAGCAUGAUCGUAAGGACAUGUGGAGCGCUUAGAAGUGAGAAUGCCGGUGUGAGUAGCGAAAGACGGGUGAGAAUCCCGUCCACCGAUUGACUAAGGUUUCCAGAGGAAGGCUCGUCCGCUCUGGGUUAGUCGGGUCCUAAGCUGAGGCCGACAGGCGUAGGCGAUGGAUAACAGGUUGAUAUUCCUGUACCACCUAUAAUCGUUUUAAUCGAUGGGGGGACGCAGUAGGAUAGGCGAAGCGUGCGAUUGGAUUGCACGUCUAAGCAGUAAGGCUGAGUAUUAGGCAAAUCCGGUACUCGUUAAGGCUGAGC
rnacentral:rRNA from 1 species